rnacentral:rRNA from 1 species
AGCUCCAAUAGCGUAUAUUAAAGUUGUUGCAGUUAAAAAGCUCGUAGUUGGAUUUCUGAUAGGAGUAGUGACUAUGGGUCUUUGACCUAUGAAGUUGCUAUCUUCAAUCAUCCUUGAAGAGAUUUAGUUUGGCAUUAAGUUGUCGAACUAAAGAUAUUCAUCUUUUACUGUGAAAAAAUCAGAACGUUCAAAGUAAGCAUUUAGCUUUGAAUGUAUUAGCAUGGAAUAAUGAAAUAGGACUUAGGUACUACUUUGUUGGUUUAUGCACCUAGGUAAUGAUUAAUAGGGAUAGUUGGGGGUAUUCGUAUUCCAAUGUUAGAGGUGAAAUUCUUGGAUUUUUGGAAGACGAACAACUGCGAAAGCAUUUACCAAGGAUGUUU